rnacentral:rRNA from 1 species
AGUGGCGGACGGGUGAGAAACACGUAAGAAUUUGCCUUUAGGAGGGGGAUAACAACUGGAAACGGUUGCUAAUACCCCAUAUGCUUUCGAGUGAAAUGGAUUUCCGCCUAAAGAGAAGCUUGCGGCUGAUUAGCUUGUUGGUGAGGUAAUGGCUCACCAAGGCGACGAUCAGUAUCUGGUUUGAGAGGACGAUCAGACACACUGGAACUGAGACACGGUCCAGACUCCUACGGGAGGCAGCAGUGGGGAAUUUUCCGCAAUGGGCGAAAGCCUGACGGAGCAAUACCGCGUGAGGGAUGAAGGCCUAUGGGUUGUAAACCUCUUUUUUCAGGGAGGAACAAAAUGACGUGUACCUGAAGAAUAAGCAUCGGCUAACUCCGUGCCAGCAGCCGCGGUAAGACGGGGGAUGCAAGUGUUAUCCGGAAUCACUGGGCGUAAAGCGUCUGUAGGUGGUUAAGUAAGUCAACUGUUAAAUCUUGAGGCUUAACCUCAAAAUCGCAGUCGAAACUGCUUGACUAGAGUAUAGUAGGGGUAAAGGGAAUUUCCAGUGGAGCGGUGAAAUGCGUAGAUAUUGGAAAGAACACCGAUGGCGAAGGCACUUUACUGGGCUAUUACUAACACUGAGAGACGAAAGCUAGGGUAGCAAAUGGGAUUAGAUACCCCAGUAGUCCUAGCUGUAAACAAUGGAUACUAGAUGUUG